rnacentral:rRNA from 1 species
CCUACGGGGUGCAGCAGUGGGGCCUAUUGCACAAUGGGCGCACGCCUGAUGCAGCAACGCCGCGUGAAGGAAGACGGUUUUCGGAUUGUAAACUUCUAUCCAUAGGGCAGAAAGAAAUGACGGUACCUAAAUAAGAAGCCCCGGCUAACUACGUGCCAGCAGCCGCGGUAAUACGUAGGGGGCAAGCGUUAUCCGGAAUUACUGGGUGUAAAGGGAGAGUAGGCGGCAAGGUAAGCGAUAUGUGAAAGCCUUAAGCUUAACUAAAGGAUUGCAUAACGAACUAUCUAGCUAGAGUACAUGAGAGGAAAGCGGAAUUCCUAGUGUAGCGGUGAAAUGCGUAGAUAUUAGGAAGAACACCAGUGGCGAAGGCGGCUUUCUGGACUGAAACUGACGCUGAGGCUCGAAAGCGUGGGGAGCGAACAGGAUUAGAUACCCGAGUAGUC